AGAGUUUCAUCAUGGCUCAGGAUGAACGCUAGCUACAGGCUUAACACAUGCAAGUCGAGGGGCAGCAUGACGAUUGCUUGCAAUUGUUGAUGGCGACCGGCGCACGGGUGAGUAACGCGUAUCCAACCUGGCCCUUAGUAGGGGAUAGCCCGGCGAAAGUCGGAUUAAUACCCUAUGUUUUCCAAUGAGGACAUCUGAGCUGGAACAAAGAUUUAUCGCUAAGGGAUGGGGAUGCGUCUGAUUAGCUUGUUGGCGGGGUAACGGCCCACCAAGGCAACGAUCAGUAGGGGUUCUGAGAGGAAGGUCCCCCACAUUGGUACUGAGCCAGGAUCAAACUC
rnacentral:rRNA from 1 species